UGGGGAAUUUUCCGCAAUGGGGGCAACCCUGACGGAGCAACGCCGCGUGCGGGAGGAAGGCCUUUGGGUUGUAAACCGCUUUUCUCAGGGAAGAAGCUCUGACGGUACCUGAGGAAUCAGCCUCGGCUAACUCUGUGCCAGCAGCCGCGGUAAUACAGAGGGGGCAAGCGUUGUCCGGACUUACUGGGCGUAAAGCGCACGCAGGUGGUAACGCAAGUGGGGUGUGAAAGCCGCCAGCUCAACUGGCGGAGGCCAACCCAAACUGCGUCACUUGAGGCCUGUAGAGGUAUGUGGAAUUGCCGGUGUAGUGGUGAAAUGCGUAGAGAUCGGCAGGAACACCCGGGGGGAAGCCAGCAUACUGGACAGGUCCUGACACUCAGGUGCGACAGCGUGGGGAGCGAACCGGAUUAGAUACCCCCGUAGUCC
rnacentral:rRNA from 1 species